UACGUAGGGGGCAAGCGUUGUCCGGAUUUAUUGGGCGUAAAGAGCGUGUAGGCGGCCAUGCAGGUCAGCUGUGAAAACUCGAGGCUCAACCUCGAGACGUCGGCGGAAACCAUCUGGCUAGAGUCCGGAAGAGGAGAGUGGAAUUCCUGGUGUAGCGGUGAAAUGCGCAGAUAUCAGGAAGAACACCGUGGCGAAGGCGGCUCUCUGGGACGGUACUGACGCUGAGACGCGAAAGCGUGGGGAGCGAACAGG
rnacentral:rRNA from 1 species